rnacentral:rRNA from 1 species
AUUGAACGCUGGCGGCAGGCUUAACACAUGCAAGUCGAGCGGAGAUGAGGUGCUUGCACCUUAUCUUAGCGGCGGACGGGUGAGUAAUGCUUAGGAAUCUGCCUAUUAGUGGGGGACAACAUUCCGAAAGGAAUGCUAAUACCGCAUACGCCCUACGGGGGAAAGCAGGGGAUCUUCGGACCUUGCGCUAAUAGAUGAGCCUAAGUCGGAUUAGCUAGUUGGGGGGGUAAAGGCCUACCAAGGCGACGAUCUGUAGCGGGUCUGAGAGGAUGAGCCGCCACACUGGGAUGGAGACACGGCCCAGACUCCUACGGGAGGCGGCAGUGGGGAAUAUUGGACAAUGGGCGGAAGCCUGAUCCAGCCAUGCCGCGUGUGUGAAGAAGGCCUUUUGGUUGUAAAGCACUUUAAGCGAGGAGGAGGCUACCUGGAUUAAUACUCUAGGAUAGUGGACGUUACUCGCAGAAUAAGCACCGGCUAACUCUGUGCCAGCAGCCGCCGUAAGAC